rnacentral:rRNA from 1 species
GACGGACGCUGGCGGCGUGCCUAAUACAUGCAAGUUGAGCGCUGAAGGUUGGUACUUGUACCAACUGGAUGAGCAGCGAACGGGUGAGUAACGCGUGGGGAAUCUGCCUUUGAGCGGGGGACAACAUUUGGAAACGAAUGCUAAUACCGCAUAAAAACUUUAAACACAAGUUUUAAGUUUGAAAGAUGCAAUUGCAUCACUCAAAGAUGAUCCCGCGCUGUAUUAGCUAGUUGGUGAGGUAAAGGCUCACCAAGGCGAUGAUACAUAGCCGACCUGAGAGGGGGAUCGGCCACAUUGGGACUGAGACACGGCCCAAACUCCUACGGGAGGCAGCAGUAGGGAAUCUUCGGCAAUGGACGAAAGUCUGACCGAGCAACGCCGCGUGAGGGAAGAAGGUUUUCGGAUCGUAAAACUCUGUUGGUAGAGAAGAACGUUGGUGAGAGUGGAAAGCUCAUCAAGUGACGGUAACUACCCAGAAAGGGACGGCUAACUACGUG